UAUGUGACAAUAGGGAGAAGGAAUGGGUUUUCCAGGUCAUGGUUGGGUCAUGGGCCUCCAGUCAGAGCCAGGAAUCCAGGGACAGCAUGUACAUUGAACAUCCCAGUUUCUAUCUAUGCUGCAGUGCCCCAUGUCAGGUGGGAGAGAAACCAACUAGACCAGAGAAAUCUGCUUGACCCCCUUGAGUCCAUCAUUGCUCCAAUCUGAAGACUAGAACCCACAAAUCUGUACUCCACUGGAAUGUGAAACAUCCCGUCCUAUGCCUAAGGAAACCAGGCUACAGCAUGGGCUGAAGUACACAGACCAUCUGGUGAGGUGGAUGGCACCUUUUUGGACCAGGUAUUAGUGGAUAAAGCCUACUCUUUUUCGGACAAGCCGAGCCAUUCGGCCUGCUAAUCAUGGAGCAAACAGAAAAUGCCAACUGGUUAAGUUGAAACAUACCUUACUUUAUUUGGCCAACUGUUUGGUUUAAUUAAGCAGACACAUUUCCAUACUCAAUUGUCUCAGUUGUUAUUUUUAAUCUAACAUCGAAUCUUAAUUCACUCCUUUUAAAUGAUGACAAGGGAAUGGCAUUACAGUUUGCCUGUUUUCCUAGAAAUCUUUCCACUAACAUAAAUAUGUUUAUUUCUGUAAAUAAAUAUAAACCAUGGUUACUACUGAAUACAGCCAUCAUAUAUAUUAUGCCAUCAUGUUAAUCAUGUUACUAGAACAGUGAAGAGCUAGGAAUUGGUGACCUGCUCCUAGAGUAAUGUUUAAAUAAAAACAUUAUUUUUUCCCUCUACCUACACACCUUUGCCUUCUCAGGUGAAAGUUGGGCCCAUUACACCUCAAUAUGAAUCAUCAUUUUUCUAUUGUGGAGAUGGCAUACUAUAACUAUGCCUUCAGUGGAUUACACUUCCUUGCUUCACAAACUGUAGUGGCAGAUCUGCCCAGAUCUAUCAACAUUCUGCCAGUAGGGUCUGUAUUAGUUAGAGUUCCUCAGUUGUUCACAAUAAGAAUAGAUUCUGAAAAACUUGAGUAGAAAAUAAAUGUUUUAGGAGGAUAAUAUGUAGCUAAUAGACCUAAAGGGAAAGCUGGGGAAUCUGCUUAGAGAAAGACAGGAACCAGGACAUCUCUAGAGGUUUAAGUGGCCAGAAGUCCUUGACAGUCUGAGGAUACAGCUGCUGGGUGUCAACUGGAUUUUCAGUGUCUAGGCCACAUCAUUCAAGAUUCAUUCCUAGUCUGUUUACCUAACUCCUCGACUAUGGGAGAACAAAGCAGUUUGAUUUAUAAUCUCAUCAAGAUUAUAGACAAGGUAGUUUUCCCAGUCAGACUGUUGUUACCCAAAUAAGUUGUGUGGUACUAGGGCUUUAAGUGCCCCUGUCCAAAGUUGUUCUAGUUCUGAUCCCAGGGACUCAUAUUCUUUUUCAAGGCUUCUGUGGCUCUUUUAAGGGUCGAAUUUGGAAUCCUCACCACUUUUCUUGAUCACCAGGACCACCAAAUGUCAUUGUCCUCCACCACUAUGGUUAGGACUCUGGAUGUAGUGAGAAGGCUUCCUACAAUUAGGACUUUUGUAGCCAAUAGGCAAGACAUUUUGCCUAUGGAGAAAUGAUAGUUUUGUCUUUCAGGCCCCCAAAUACCAUGUGGAUCUUUCAAUUUUCAGUUCUCCAAGUGAGCCCUCCAAGUCUUCAAGAGUCCAUCAGCCAGUGCUCUCUCAUUCCCCAGAUCCACCUGCAGAGAUUCCACUAAGGAAGGCUGUGGACCUGAGGACUGCCCACGAAGAUUUACUGAUCAGAUCCAUGCUCCAGUCAAGUCCUCCCUUUCCAUCAGUGACAGAUAAACCUGCAUACGAAGCUAGCCAAGACAGCCCUGAAAUACUUUCCAAGGAACCUUGUUAAGUCUCCUUCUCACUCCUAACCAUCUAGUUACAGUUACCAGCAAGACUACAGACCAGGCUCACUGCAGACGCAUUCUCACCAGGGUGAGAGAACUGUAAUGGCUUUGUUGAGGCUAAAAGAGUAUGUUGCUUCUAUACUGAGAGUCCUUCUCUGUUGGGUCUGGGUACUGUCUGUUCUGCUAACUCUGCCUCUUCCACAUUUCCUGUGACCCUUUCUGAGGCCAACUGUUUGAUUGAUCAAUAGCUUUCCUCCCUGCAGGCUGUAUGUACUUUGGUCAUCUUAUCUUGUUCUGCCCUUGGAUAUUUAUUUACUCAUUCUUGAUUUUUGUUGAUUAAUUGGCCUUUGUCUUAUUGCUGCCCAAACCCUUGCAUUUCUUUUUGUGGCCUUGGUCUGCUGCAACAUUCAACAUAAAUACUAUUUCUUUCUAGAAUUCUCUAGACUGUUUUGGAGUCAGCUUCUUUUAGGUCUUUCCACAAUCAAAAGCCAUUUAUUGAGAUCAGCAAUAUCUUAGGACUGUGACUUUUUCUUGAUUCUAUCAAUUUCUUAAUAUUUGUAUUUUUUAAUGCAUAAUGUAAUUUUGGUGCUUAAUUUUUAUACUUGAAUUGCAUUCUUUUGCACCUCAGUAUGUGCUUCUUUGCAGAGCUCACUAUUUAUGCUUCUCUCGGUAGACAGUUAUAGAAAGGGAUUCAUUUGUGUACUUCUCAGCAAAUGCAUUUUCUUUUUCAGAUCAGCUUGACUCCAUAACACUAUUCAGUAAUUGGAAGGUAGUUAAUGCCUGUUCUUAAAAACAAAUCUCUGAACAAUCACAACAAACAUUUAAGUAGUUCAUAGAUAUUAUCCUCACAUAAUAUUGCUAAACGUUCCCAACACUUCCAGACUAGAUCACUGUUUUACAAAUGAUGAAACUGAGGCUUUAAAAGGUCAAGUAAAUUAUACAAAGUCUCCUAGCUAGCAGGUGAUAGAUCCAGGAAUUCAACCCCAUUUUAUCAGUUUCCAAAAUAUGGACUUCCAUUACCCUGUAUUGCUGCUGGUGGUUCAGAUCUUAGUUUGCAACAUUUUAAGAAAGAGAAUAUCAAAUAGCCAUGUAAACAGCAAGAAAUACUAUAGAAACAAAGAGAAUUUUGAUUAAUGUCUCCUGGUAGGAUAAAAUGAGACAAAAGUGGCCAAGUAGGGUAGCAUCUUAGAGGGGCCAGAAUAGAGUACCUACUAGACUGUCUUAGAAUGGUGCCAAGGUAUAGAACCAAUGUAAGUGGGAAAACAAGGAGAGUUAAAUAAGUUGAAGCAAAGGAAACAGGAAGGAACGAUAGCAUGAAGGAAUUCCCAACCUGGAAGGCAGACACUAGUGGAUACUAGUGUCAUUUUAAAUUUCUAUGCCAGUUUACAUGGGUUUGUCAAUUACAGCAACUCAGUCCAAAAGGGGACAGACUGCACCAGGGACAGAGUUUCACACAAAGUGUGUGGUGGCUGUAGCAGCGAAGAAGUGAUCUUGAGUUCUGAGAAGACAGCCUUGCUUGGUUCCAGCUGCUCUUUUUCUUUCUAUCCAGGAUCCCCACCCCAGUCAGGUGAUGGUGACUGAAGGAGAGGAGUAUUGUUGACCUAUGAGGGGUUGGGAGAGUCAGAGGUUGAGAGCAGGAGGUUGUUGGCUAAAGCGUGGGAUUUCUCACCUCAGAUGAUGGAAGAUGCCCAAAUCAUAGAAGCCAGGAGAGCUGAGAAAGGUUCAAGGAACCAAAAUCCUAGAAGAUGGGAGGUAAGAUAUGAGUGAGGGAUGUCACCAAAACAGCACAGAAAGGGAAGCUGGAUAGUAACACAAAGAGUAAAGGAUUUUUGUCUAGAACAGUUCAGACCUUUCAUAGUUCUUUUCCAAUCCAUGGAGGCUGUAAAGGCCCUAUUAAAAGCCUGGGGCUGCUCAUUCCUAUGCUCCUUUAUUUUAUUUUAUUAUUACUAUUUUUUUUUUUUUUUUACCAAAACUACUUGCUCUGUCCUAAUGGUCUCCAUUUCCAUCCUGUUGUGCUGCACCUAGCCUCUGCUGCUCUGCUUAGUCUCAUUGGCCAUGUAAUUCACUAAGAUAAUCUCUGUAGCCAUCUAUUACAGUUUUAACCCUUGACAAUGUCGACAUUUGCUGUCGCUCCAUGUUCUGCAGCCUGCAAUCUGUCUUAUCCAGCCAACUGGUUAACUCAUUCCACAAUACCCCCUGACUCCUUCUUAGAGGUAGGCCCACAAUGGUGUUUCUUCCAUUCCAUCUGGGAACCAAGGGGUGGAGACCUGUGUAGUGUUGGCUGUAUGCAAUACCACUGAUCAUGUCCUGCCAAAUACCAUGAUGUCCACUGGAGGUGGGUUGGGGAAGGAUGUCUCCAUUAUAGCAGCAGAAUCUAUAGGUUUUAUAGGUUAAUAGGAAUUGCUAUGUUUUUCAAAAUGACAAGUAGGAACACAAAACCCAUUUACUCAGCCACUAAACUUGAGUGUCUUUAAUAACUACAUUUUCAGGAGAAAGCAAGGAAAUUUUUCCUUCUGUCAUUCACUUUAUUCACGUAGACCAUAUAUAGGAAAAUACAUGAAUCACAAGUAUACAGCUGGAUGAAUUUUCACAAAGUGAACACACUAGUUUAAUCAGUACCCAGAUUAAGAAACAAACAUUAUCAGCAACCAAUCCUCUCAUGUCCCCAUCUGGUUACCACUCCCCAUAUGGUAAUCACUCUUCUGACUUCCAACAACAUUGAUUAGUUUUGCCUGUUUUAGAAUUUCAUAUAAAUGGAAAAUAUAUUAUGUAUUCUUUUGUGUGUGGCUUUUUUGGGUCAACAUUGUAUAUGUAAGAUUUAUCCAUGUUGUCAUGCAUAGAAGUAGUCUAUUCUUUUUCAUUGUUAUAUUAGCACAUUGUAUGAAUAUACUACUCUAUCCACUCUACUGCUAUUAGACAUUUGGAUUGUUUCUAGUUUUUAGCUAUCAUGAAUAGUCUUGUGAACAUUCUUGUACGUGUCUUUUGAUGAACAUAUGUAUGCAUUUCUACUGGAAAUGUAUCUAGGAGUAGAAUUGUUUGGUAAACGUAUAUACAUAUGUUCAGUUUUAGUAGAU